rnacentral:rRNA from 1 species
AAACUAACAAGGAUUCCCCUAGUAACGGCGAGUGAACCGGGAAGAGCUCAAAUUUGAAAUCUGGCGUCCUCAGGGCGUCCGAGUUGUAAUCUAUAGAGGCGUUUUCCGUGCCGGACCGUGUCCAAGUUCCUUGGAACAGGAUAUCAAAGAGGGUGACAAUCCCGUACUUGACACGAUGACCGGUGCUCUGUGAUACGUCUUCUACGAGUCGAGUUGUUUGGGAAUGCAGCUCAAAAUGGGUGGUGAGUUCCAUCUAAAGCUAAAUAUUGGCGAGAGACCGAUAGCGAACAAGUACCGUGAGGGAAAGAUGAAAAGCACUUUGGAAAGAGAGUUAAACAGUACGUGAAAUUGUUGAAAGGGAAACGAUUGAAGUCAGUCGUGACUGAGAGGCUCAGCCGGUUCUGCCGGUGUAUUCCCCUCAGUCGGGUCAACAUCAGUUUUGUCCGGUGGAAAAGGGCGGUAGGAACGUGGCACCUCCGGGUGUGUUAUAGCCUGCCGUCGCAUACAUCGGGUGAGACUGAGGUAAUGCAGCUCGCCUUUAUGGCCGGGGUUCGCC